rnacentral:lncRNA from 1 species
UCCACAUCCGAUAUUACAAUUCCAUUGGCUCGUUGAGGCUUUCAUCAAUUGUUUUGAUCUUUAGUUACUCCUAGGUUGCUCAUGCAACUGCCUAUAUAUAUGAGUACUCAGGCAUGUUGUAUUUUUUAGCAUAACUUCAUUCGUUUGUCGAAGCUCCAUUCAUCCAACUUGAUGCUUCGUUAUUAGUUCCAUCCAAUGGUUUUGUACAAUUUAGUUCCAAAUGGUUGACAAUAACACAGGGGUCUUUGCAAUGCAAGUUAGGAACAUUAUGCACAACCUCUUCUAAUGGAGUUUGUUGUAGAUCCAUCGUGAGCAAUCUUUGGUUCUCAUUGGUCUACCAUUCUUUGUAAAAUCUCUCCUCGUAUACUUCAUCGUCGUACAAUGUAGACAUUUUGCGUUCCUCAUCCCAAUUGCUAUUAUCAUCAAACUGAUAAGUAACUUGAUCCAUGAUUAAAUUAAUCGGUCAACAAGGUAGCUAAAACUAAAACAAAAAUAACUAAAAAUAAUGAGAAGUAAAAAUUAGUACACUAUCUAACUCGUUUGUCAUUUGAUUAAUAUUAUUUUACAAAGCAAUUAACUUAAUAACAAUUUUCACCAUCGCAAUCCUCGACAACUGCACCAAGAAAUUUACCCCCUCCAAACGUGCGAACAUUUCAAGUUAAAAUCAUGCAAAUAAAUAUAUAUAAAUUAAGUGCGGCAUCUGCAAGCAAACAUGUCAAUUUGUAAUAUAGAUUUGUGUUACAACAGAACACCGAUAAGUAUUCCGAGGAUCAUACCCUAGGAAUUGCAAAUUGGAGAAAUUUAUUAUUAAAUUAAUUACAGAAAAGAAUUACUAAUCUAAUCGAGUCUCGAAUUAGUAGUGUAAACCAAAUUAAAAUAUUAGUUAAACUAAUUAAUUUACUUAACCUAAAAUUAACCUAAUUAAAUCAAUUAAUCUAAAAUAACCUAAUGAAAUUAAUUAGUCUAAGAUAACUAAUGGAAUUUCCUAUUACUAGUGUCAACGAUGUGAGUUCCCGGUCUAUUUUCGAUUAAAUCACUAAUUAUCAAUUAAGUCACUAAUUACUCUCGAUUGAGUUAUUUACCACCCUUAGCUAAGAAUACCCUCUCGAUCUCAUCUUCACUAAGGAUUACCACCAAACUCACCCUCUCGGUCUCUUCCUAAGCAUACUGAUACCCUUCCCAUCUUACCACUUGGCACAAAUAUACUCGACAAGAUACCUUCUCGAUCUCUCCUGUCUAGAUAUUCUAUUAGGGGCGUCACUCCCUAAUAUACUAAGUACUCUUAAAUAAACACUCAAAUUUAGAUAAAUAAUUACUUAAUUAAUAAAUUAGAUCCAUAAGCAAAACAUGUUAGAUAUAAAAUAAACACAAGAUUUAUUAUGAUAUUCAUACAAACGUUACUUGGCCAAAGAAACGAAAUAUAAAUAAAAUAAUAAAAUUUUUCAUUGAUAAUUAAUUAAGGUCUAGUACCUGAUACGAACUCGUUUUGGAAUGAUUCGAGUCGUUUAGAUUGCCCGAUCGUGAAAUUAAGUAAGUUUGAGUUGUUUCAAAAAUAAGCUUGAAAAAGCUGAAAGAUAGGUCCAAAACAAGAUUGUUAAAAGAUGGUAGGAAGGGUGGAUGGGUGAAUACAACUAAGGCUAAGAAUGAACCAACAAUAAGGAUGAUUGUUGACCCGAAUCUUAAACAGCACUUAGGUGAAAUUGGUGGAAAUGAUAAGGGAUAGUUUGAUAAAAACCUUGACCCGUUAUCUAUGCAAGAUAGGAACCAAAGGUAUGGCUGAACGCCACACUUAGAAAAAUGAUAAGUUCGGUUUAACAAGAAAAGAAUGAUGCCACAAGCUAAGCUUGAUAAGUCAUUUCAGUCCAAGAAAGAACAAUGAGAGUAGAAUUCUCAGAAAGAACAAAAGUUCG